rnacentral:rRNA from 1 species
GGGGGAAUAUUGGACAAUGGGCGAAAGCCUGAUCCAGCCAUGCCGCGUGUGUGAAGAAGGUCUUCGGAUUGUGAAGCACUUUAAGUUGGGAGGAAGGGCCGUUACCUAAUACGUGAUGGUUUUGACGUUACCGACAGAAUAAGCACCGGCUAACUCUGUGCCAGCAGCCGCGGUAAUACAGAGGGCGCAAGCGUUAAUCGGAAUUACUGGGCGUAAAGCGCGCGUAGGUGGUUUGUUAAGUUGGAUGUGAAAUCCCCGGGCUCAACCUGGGAACUGCAUUCAAAACUGACUGACUAGAGUAUGGUAGAGGGUGGUGGAAUUUCCUGUGUAGCGGUGAAAUGCGUAGAUAUAGGAAGGAACACCAGUGGCGAAGGCGACCACCUGGACUGAUACUGACACUNGAGGUGCGAAAGCGUGGGGAGCAAACAGGAUUAGAUACCCUGGGUAGUCCACGCCGUAAACGAUGAAUGCUAGGUGUAAGGGGUUUCGAUACCCUUGGUGCCCGAAAGUUAACACAUUAAGCAUUCCGCCUGGGGGAGNUACCGUUUCGCC